rnacentral:misc_RNA from 1 species
GUACUCUCACACUUCCAAUUCUUGGAUUGGGAGCGGUGGACUUGGGUGCUGCUGCUUACUGUGGCUCACCUCAAAUGUGUUAGUGCAACCGUUGGUUAGACAUAGUACAGCGUGAUAAGUAUCUUCGCUGGCGCCUCACUAGAGGGUGGCUGAUCAGGGCUCUGUGCUUCCAAUCGUCUUCGGACAAUGGCUGACA